UACGGGGGGGGCAAGCGUUGUUCGGAAUUACUGGGCGUAAAGAGCGUGUAGGCGGUCCGGUAAGUCAGCUGUGAAAGUCAAGGGCUCAACCCUUGAAUGCCGGUUGAUACUGUCGGGCUAGAGUCCGGAAGAGGCGAGUGGAAUUCCCGGUGUAGCGGUGAAAUGCGCAGAUAUCGGGAGGAACACCAAUGGCGAAGGCAGCUCGCUGGGACGGUACUGACGCUGAGGAGCGAAAGUGUGGGGAGCGAACAGG
rnacentral:rRNA from 1 species